rnacentral:rRNA from 1 species
UACGGAGGGUGCGAGCGUUAAUUGGAAUUACUGGGCGUAAAGAGUGCGUAGGUGGUUUAGUAAGUUAUCUGUGAAAUCCCUGGGCUCAACCUGGGCAGGUCAGAUAAUACUGCUAGACUCGAGUAUGGGAGAGGGUAGUGGAAUUUCCGGUGUAGCGGUGAAAUGCGUAGAGAUCGGAAGGAACACCAGUGGCGAAGGCGGCUACCUGGCCUAAUACUGACACUGAGGCACGAAAGCGUGGGGAGCAAAC